rnacentral:rRNA from 1 species
CCUACGGGGGGCAGCAGUGGGGAAUAUUGGACAAUGGGGGGAACCCUGAUCCAGCCAUGCCGCGUGUGUGAAGAAGGCCCUCGGGUUGUAAAGCACUUUCAGUGAGGAAGAACGCCUGGUGGUUAAUACCCAUCAGGAAAGACAUCACUCACAGAAGAAGCACCGGCUAACUCCGUGCCAGCAGCCGCGGUAAUACGGAGGGUGCGAGCGUUAAUCGGAAUUACUGGGCGUAAAGCGCGCGUAGGUGGCUUGAUAAGCCGGUUGUGAAAGCCCCGGGCUCAACCUGGGAACGGCAUCCGGAACUGUCAAGCUAGAGUGCAGGAGAGGAAGGUAGAAUUCCCGGUGUAGCGGUGAAAUGCGUAGAGAUCGGGAGGAAUACCAGUGGCGAAGGCGGCCUUCUGGACUGACACUGCCACUGAGGUGCGAAAGCGUGGGUAGCAAACAGGAUUAGAUACCCUGGUAGUC